GACGAACGCUGGCGGCGUGCCUAAUACAUGCAAGUCGAGCGCAGGAAACUGACGGAACUCUUCGGAGGGAAGGCAGUGGAAUGAGCGGCGGACGGGUGAGUAACACGUAAGGAACCUGCCUCAAGGAUUGGGAUAACUCCGAGAAAUCGGAGCUAAUACCGGAUAGUUCAUCGGACCGCAUGGUCCGCUGAUGAAAGGCGCUCCGGCGUCCCCUUGAGAUGGCCUUGCGGUGCAUUAGCUAGUUGAUGGGGUAACGGCCCACCAAGGCGACGAUGCAUAGCCGACCUGAGAGGGUGAUCGGCCACACUGGGACUGAGACACGGCCCAGACUCCUACGGGAGGCAGCAGUAGGGAAUCUUCCACAAUGGACGAAAGUCUGAUGGAGCAACGCCGCGUGAGUGAUGAAGGUUUUCGGAUCGUAAAACUCUGUUGUAAGGGAAGAACACGUACGAGAGGGAAUGCUCGUACCUUGACGGUACCUUACGAGAAAGCCACGGCUAACUACGUGCCAGCCGCCGCGGUAA
rnacentral:rRNA from 1 species